CCUACGGGUGUCUGCAGUGAGGAAUCUUGGUCAAUGGACGAGAGUCUGAACCAGCCAAGUCGCGUGAAGGAUUACUGCCCUAUGGGUUGUAAACUUCUUUUAUAUGGGAAUAAAAUGAUCCACGUGUGGGAUUUUGUAUGUACCCUAUGAAUAAGCAUCGGCUAACUCCGUGCCAGCAGCCGCGGUAAUACGGAUGAGGCGAGCGUUAUCCGGAUGUAUUGGGGUUAAAGGGCGCGUAGGUGGAUUGUUAAGUCAGUUGUGAAAGUUUGCGGCUCAACCGUAAAAUUGCAGUUGAAACUGGCAGUCUUGAGUACGGUAGAGGGGGGCGGAAUUCGUGGUGUAGCGGUGAAAUGCUUAGAUAUCACGAAGAACUCCGAUUGCGAAGGCAGCUCACUGGACUGCAACUGACACGGAGGCACGAAAGUGUGGGUAUCAAACAGGAUUAGAUACCCGUGUAGUC
rnacentral:rRNA from 1 species